rnacentral:rRNA from 1 species
AUUGAACGCUGGCGGCAUGCCUAACACAUGCAAGUCGAACGAGUGGCGGACGUGUGAGGAAUACAUCGGAAUCUACUCUGUCGUUGGGGAUAACGUGGGGAAACUUACGCUAAUACCGCAUAAGAUUGAAUGAGCCGAUGUCGGAUUAGCUAGUUGGCGGGGUAAAGGCCCACCAAGGAGACGAUCCGUAGCUGGUCUGAGAGGAUGAUCAGCCACACGGGAACUGAGACACGGUCCAGACUCCUACGGGAGGCAGCAGUGGGGAAUAUUGCACAAUGGGCGCAAGCCUGAUGCAGCCAUGCCGCGUGUGUGAAGAAGGCCUUCGGGUUGUAAAGUACUUUCAGCGGGGAGGCGUUACCCGCAGAAGAAGCACCGGCUAACUCCGUGCCAGCCGCCGCGGUAAUAC